AAGGGUGUUGAGGCCUCAAUUCCGUAGUGCAUUGCAGUGCAUCAUGCCCCCUGCAAGCAGUGCGGAAGUGAGGCUGAGACAGUCUAUAGCUAC
rnacentral:pre_miRNA from 11 species